rnacentral:rRNA from 1 species
AUGUCCGGCCGCGGCAAGGGAGGGAAGGGGCUGGGCAAGGGCGGCGCCAAGCGCCACCGGAAGGUGCUGCGCGACAACAUCCAGGGCAUCACCAAGCCGGCCAUCCGUCGUCUGGCUCGGCGUGGCGGCGUGAAGCGCAUCUCGGGGCUCAUCUACGAGGAGACCCGCGGCGUGCUCAAGAUCUUCCUGGAGAACGUCAUCCGCGACGCCGUCACCUACACCGAGCACGCCCGCCGCAAGACCGUCACCGCCAUGGACGUCGUCUACGCCCUCAAGCGCCAGGGACGCACCCUCUACGGAUUCGGCGGCUAG